rnacentral:rRNA from 1 species
GGGUGUGAUCAUACCAAUAUUAAUGCAUUGGAUCCCAUCAAAAUUUUGCAGUUAAGUGUGCUUAGGCGAGAGUAGUACUAGGAUGGGUGACCUCCUAGGAAGUCCUUGUGUUGCACCAU